GUGCGAAUGCUGACAUAAGUAACGAUAAAGCGGGUGAAAAGCCCGCUCGCCGGAAGACCAAGGGUUCCUGUCCAACGUUAAUCGGGGCAGGGUGAGUCGACCCCUAAGGCGAGGCCGAAAGGCGUAGUCGAUGGGAAACAGGUUAAUAUUCCUGUACUUGGUGUUACUGCGAAGGGGGGACGGAGAAGGCUAUGUUAGCCGGGCGACGGUUGUCCCGGUUUAAGCAUGUAGGCGGAGGUUCCAGGUAAAUCCGGUUCCUUGUUAACGCUGAGGUGUGAUGACGAGGCACUACGGUGCUGAAGUAACAAAUGCCCUGCUUCCAGGAAAAGCCUCUAAGCAUCAGGUAACACGAAAUCGUACCCCAAACCGACACAGGUGGUCAGGUAGAGAAUACCAAGGCGCUUGAGAGAACUCGGGUGAAGGAACUAGGCAAAAUGGUGCCGUAACUUCGGGAGAAGGCACGCUGAUAUGUAGGUGAAGUCCCUGCGGAUGGAGCUGAAAUCAGUCGAAGAUACCAGCUGGCUGCAACUGUUUAUUAAAAACACAGCACUGUGCAAACACGAAAGUGGACGUAUACGGUGUGACGCCUGCCCGGUGCCGGAAGGUUAAUUGAUGGGGUUAGCGGUAACGCGAAGCUCUUGAUCGAAGCCCCGGUAAACGGCGGCCGUAACUAUAACGGUCCUAAGGUAGCGAAAUUCCUUGUCGGGUAAGUUCCGACCUGCACGAAUGGCGUAAUGAUGGCCAGGCUGUCUCCACCCGAGACUCAGUGAAAUUGAACUCGCUGUGAAGAUGCAGUGUACCCGCGGCAAGACGGAAAGACCCCGUGAACCUUUACUAUAGCUUGACACUGAACACUGGUCCUUGAUGUGUAGGAUAGGUGGGAGGCUUUGAAGCGUGGACGCCAGUCUGCGUGGAGCCAACCUUGAAAUACCACCCUUUAAUGGCUGGUGUUCUAACGUAGACCCGUGAUCCGGGUUGCGGACAGUGUCUGGUGGGUAGUUUGACUGGGGCGGUCUCCUCCCAAAGAGUAACGGAGGAGCACGAAGGUUAGCUAAUCCUGGUCGGACAUCAGGAGGUUAGUGCAAUGGCAUAAGCUAGCUUGACUGCGAGAGUGACGGCUCGAGCAGGUGCGAAAGCAGGUCAUAGUGAUCCGGUGGUUCUGAAUGGAAGGGCCAUCGCUCAACGGAUAAAAGGUACUCCGGGGAUAACAGGCUGAUACCGCCCAAGAGUUCAUAUCGACGGCGGUGUUUGGCACCUCGAUGUCGGCUCAUCACAUCCUGGGGCUGAAGUAGGUCCCAAGGGUAUGGCUGUUCGCCAUUUAAAGUGGUACGCGAGCUGGGUUUAGAACGUCGUGAGACAGUUCGGUCCCUAUCUGCCGUGGGCGCUGGAGAAUUGAGGGGGGCUGCUCCUAGUACGAGAGGACCGGAGUGGACGCAUCACUGGUGUUCGGGUUGUCAUGCCAAUGGCACUGCCCGGUAGCUAAAUGCGGAAGAGAUAAGUGCUGAAAGCAUCUAAGCACGAAACUUGCCCCGAGAUGAGUUCUCCCUGAGACUUUAAGUCUCCUGAAGGAACGUUGAAGACUACGACGUUGAUAGGUCGGGUGUGUAAGCGCAGCGAUGCGUUGAGCUAACCGAUACUAAUGAACCGUGAGGCUUAACCUU
rnacentral:rRNA from 1 species